CCUUUAUGGAAGUAAGACCCCUGAAAGAUGAUCAGGUAGAUAGGUUAGAAGUGGCAGUGCGGUGACGCAUGAAGCGGACUAAUACUAAUCGGUCGAGGACUUAACCAA
rnacentral:rRNA from 1 species